UAGUCCACGCCGUAAACGAUGAAUGCUAGUUGUCGUGUGGUUUUCCACUCGGUGACGCAGCUAACGCAUUAAGCAUUCCGCCUGGGGAGUACGGUCGCAAGAUUAAAACUCAAAGGAAUUGACGGGGGGCCCGCACAAGCGGUGGAGCAUGUGGUUUAAUUCGACGCAACGCGCAGAACCUUACCACCUUUUGACAUACCAAUCGCGAACACCUGAGAAGGCGUUCUUCAGUUAGGCUGGAUUGGAUACAGGUGCUGCAUGGCUGUCGUCAGCUCGUGUCGUGAGAUGUUGGGUUAAGUCCCGCAACGAGCGCAACCCUCACCUCUAGUUGCCAUCAGGUUUGGCUGGGCACUUUAGAGGAACUGCCGGUGAUAAGCCGGAGGAAGGUGGGGGAUGACGUCAA
rnacentral:rRNA from 1 species